UACAGAGGGUGCGAGCGUUGUUCGGAAUUAUUGGGCGUAAAGGGUGCGUAGGUGGUUUGUUAAGUCCGUUGUGAAAUCCCUGGGCUCAACCUGGGAAUGGCAGUGGAUACUGGCAAGCUAGAGUGCGGUAGAGGGUAGUGGAAUUCCCGGUGUAGCAGUGAAAUGCGUAGAGAUCGGGAGGAACACCAGUGGCGAAGGCGGCUACCUGGACCAGCACUGACACUGAGGCACGAAAGCGUGGGGAGCAAACAGG
rnacentral:rRNA from 1 species